CGAGAUCCUACUUUAGUGACUAUUGAAUUUCUUCGUGCUCGUUUACUUGCUGAAAGAGCUGUUUCCAAGAGUGCUAGAGCUAAGCUUGAUGGACUCGCUGAUAAAGUAGCAGAGCUAGAGGAACAGCUAAAGAUUGUAUCUUUACAGAGAAAAAAGGCUGAACAGGCAACUGCUGAAGUUCUUGCGAUCUUGGAAGAAAAUGGAUACACUGAUGUCUCUGAUGAUUAUGAUGGUUCCAACUCUGAUCAUGAAUGCUACUCUCAGACCAAUUCGGUGUUUGGCAAAAGUUUAUCCUGGAAAGGUCG